UUUUAUUUAGUUUAUACAAAAUAUUGGUUUGUCAAACCAGAGUAGUGAAAAAUUCACGGUUAAAA
rnacentral:tRNA from 1 species